rnacentral:rRNA from 1 species
UACGGGGGGAGCAAGCGUUGUUCGGAUUUACUGGGCGUAAAGGGCGCGUAGGCGGCCAGCACAAGUCAGUUGUGAAAUCUCCGAGCUUAACUCGGAAAGGUCAACUGAUACUGUGCGGCUAGAGUGCGGAAGGGGCAACUGGAAUUCUUGGUGUAGCGGUGAAAUGCGUAGAUAUCGAGAGGAACACCUGCGGCGAAGGCGGGUUGCUGGGCUGAUACUGACGCUGAUGCGCGAAAGCCAGGGGAGCGAACGGG